rnacentral:rRNA from 1 species
GAUGAACGCUGGCGGCGUGCCUAAUACAUGCAAGUCGAGCGAACGGACGAGAAGCUUGCUUCUCUGAUGUUAGCGGCGGACGGGUGAGUAACACGUGGAUAACCUACCUAUAAGACUGGGAUAACUUCGGGAAACCGUAGCUAAUACCGGAUAAUAUUUUGAACCGCAUGGUUCAAAAGUGAAAGACGGUCUUGCUGUCACUUAUAGAUGGGUCCGCGCUGCAUUAGCUAGUUGGUAAGGUAACGGCUUACCAAGGCAACGAUGCAUAGCCGACCUGAGAGGGUGAUCGGCCACACUGGAACUGAGACACGGUCCAGACUCCUACGGGAGGCAGCAGUAGGGAAUCUUCCGCAAUGGGCGAAAGCCUGACGGAGCAACGCCGCGUGAGUGAUGAAGGUCUUCGGAUCGUAAAACUCUGUUAUUAGGGAAGAACAUAUGUGUAAGUAACUGUUCACAUCUUGACGGUACCUAAUCAGAAAGCCACGGCUAACUACGUG